GAGAAGUGGUCGAAUGAUGGUGCCAAUUCAACCCUCACUAGAUUUGUUCUUACACCCCCUUUCAUUUGAAAUCUAAGUCGGAUUCCACGAUGCCGCCUUUUUUCUUAGUUUGAUACUCAAAAAUAAUAGAAAGGUACCCUCUUUUCCUUAUUAGAUUCGAGCAGAGAAGAAAAUGUGAAAUUGAUAUGGAUCAAAAGGGUAGUUAUCUACAGAGUCGGGCAUUGUUAAUUACUUGUUUGGUAAAGUAAAUUGUAGAAAAUAUGUCUUACUCGGCCGAAAUUUAUCGAGGCGACUAUGA
rnacentral:lncRNA from 1 species